rnacentral:rRNA from 1 species
UACAGAGGUCUCAAGCGUUGUUCGGAUUCAUUGGGCGUAAAGGGUGCGUAGGCGGCGCGGUAAGUCGGGUGUGAAAUCUCGGAGCUUAACUCCGAAACUGCAUUCGAUACUGCCGUGCUUGAGGACUGGAGAGGAGACUGGAAUUUACGGUGUAGCGGUGAAAUGCGUAGAGAUCGGGAGGAAGGCCGGUGGCGAAGGCGGCGCUCUGGAACAUUUCUGACGCUGAGGCUCGAAAGCGUGGGGAGCAAACAGG